CACACAUGUGUAUAUAAGCUAAAAAAAUGUGGAGUGAAAAGAACAAGUUACAAGACGUUUCAGGCACGUGAAACUCACACGUGCCAACUCCAGGACACUGAUGACUUCUAGGAAGGGUGGGUGACAAAAGGAAAGGGAUGGGAGAGGGAUGGCUUUUGGUAGGUUUACAGUGACUUGUUUGUGAACAGUGAAAGAGGGAUUGCGAGCAAAAAUGGCAAAAUGUUGACAUCUGUUAAAUCCAGGUGAUAAGUGCAUGAGUGUUUAUAAGUAUUUUUCACACUGUAGAUAUACAAAACAUUUCAUAUUUGAAAGAAAGAAAAAGACCACAGCCUCAUACUCGUGCUACUCUCAGAACUGAAGAAGUAUGUUAGCACAGCUUGUCCCUCCAGAUGACAGCAGUGACACGGACACGGAACUCCAAGGGCGAGGACAGCUCAUGAGAGGUGGCCACAAGUUUGACUGUAUUUGACUGAGCAACCUGGAUGGAGCUGACACAAGCGGCUGCAACAAGGCGAAGCAUGGGCUCUCAGAGCGAGAACGAAGCCGGGAGACAAGGCCCUUGUUUUAGAGAGUCAUGAACCCCGUGUUAGGGAGGGAAGGCGCCUGCGCAGUGAGAGGACGUCAGACUCCACACUACUCUAUAU